UACGAAGGGGGCUAGCGUUGCUCGGAAUCACUGGGCGUAAAGCGCACGUAGGCGGAUCUUUAAGUCAGGGGUGAAAUCCUGGAGCUCAACUCCAGAACUGCCUUUGAUACUGGGAUAUCUAGUCCGGAAGAGGUGAGUGGAACUCCGAGUGUAGAGGUGAAAUUCGUAGAUAUUCGGAAGAACACCAGUGGCGAAGGCGGCUCACUGGUCCGGUACUGACGCUGAGU
rnacentral:rRNA from 1 species